UACGGGGGGGGCAAGCGUUGUUCGGAAUUACUGGGCGUAAAGGGCGCGUAGGUGGCCAACUAAGUCAGACGUGAAAUCCCUCGGCUUAACCGGGGAACUGCGUCUGAUACUGGAUGGCUUGAGUGUGGGAGAGGGAUGCGGAAUUCCAGGUGUAGCGGUGAAAUGCGUAGAUAUCUGGAGGAACACCGGUGGCGAAGGCGGCAUCCUGGACCACGACUGACACUGAAACGCGAAAGCCAGGGGAGCAAACGGG
rnacentral:rRNA from 1 species